rnacentral:rRNA from 1 species
UACGGAGGGUGCAAGCGUUAAUCGGAAUUACUGGGCGUAAAGCGCACGCAGGUGGCUGAGUCAGUCGAUUGUGAAAGCCCUGGGCUUAACCUGGGAAUUGCAGUCGAUACUACUCAGCUAGAGUAUGGGAGAGGACAGUGGAAUUCCCGGUGUAGCGGUGAAAUGCGUAGAUAUCGGGAGGAACAUCAGUGGCGAAGGCGGCUGUCUGGCCCAAUACUGACACUCAGGUGCGACAGCGUGGGGAGCAAACAGG